UUAAGGCUUGCUUUGUAUCAGAAUGGUAAAUCAAUUAUUAAUUAAUAGCUAUAAAAUAAAUUGCAUGAUAAUGAGCUAUUAAGUAAAGCUGUAAACAAAUCAAUUGGUUAAUACUAUUGGGAAAAAAUAAAAGAAAAUGGAAAAUGGCUCAAAAGUGGCACAAGAACCCAAAUAAUGAAGUCCUUGCACAAGGAUUUUUCUUUUGGAUAUACCAAAAUCAAAUGUUCUCCAAUGGGUCCUUAAACAAGGAUUUAUUCCAAGUCAUCUUGGAUGGGAUUAUGGAUCUCCCAUUGGAGAUAGUCUUAGUGGUGGGUGGUUUGUCACCUAAAAAAAGCACGUGUCCCAUCUUUCUUUGUUUGCCUCAAAAGGAAGGAAUGUCUCAGAAAACUCAUCACAAACAACUCACCGCUCCACUUCAGAAAUUCGCCCGGAGGUUUGUUCCGAUGGGGGAGCGUGGCGGCGCGACAUCGGCAGGUUCGACCCAGAUGCGACUACAACAACAACAACCUCUUGCAGCCUAAUCCACACCCUCAAGGUGCCGCCACGAAGAACGGCCAGCAACGACGAUGAUGGCAGCGGCUUGGGGUCGUCAAAUUCGUGGAAUUUAUGCCGAAUUGGUUGUCGGAAUUGGUGAUUGAGUCAGGUAUUCUGCUUUAUCUUUCCACAACAAACGUAACAUUUAUAUGAAGUUCUAGGGUUUGUCGAUUGGGUUUUGUAGGUGCUAUAACUGCUCAGGUUUGAAUCACAAAAAAGGUGUUCGACGAAAUGCGCAAAUGGAAUAGAGCUAAUGUUGAAAUAGAUUUUGCAGAAUUUACAUUCCAGAAAUGGGCUGAAGAUGUUCCGAGUUCUGGUACUAUGAAUGUUAAAUCAUGUUAUGAGUAUUGAUAAUUUUAUAUAGUUUCAACGAAGAACACUUUAGUUAAUAAUGUUAUGACUUAUGAGUAUUGAUAAUUUGAUAUAGCUUAAAUGAAGAACUGAUUAGUUGUUUUGUAGAUUAUUGUUAUGUUUGUUAUCGGUUAUAUUUACAUCUCUGUUAUGAGUUUUUGGUGUAGGAUUUCAUAGUGAAAAUGGCGGACGCCAAGGAAGUGACAAUCCGUGCGUGGAAUGGCCGGUUCAUUAUAUUGUAAUUAUUUUAUAAAAGCACUGAUUUAAGUAUCCAUUAUCAUGGUUAUGACAUCUAUCCCCUUCUUUUAUUUAAGUAUUUAGAUGAUGAGAAGGUGAAAGGAUAUAAUACGCGUCUUGUAACUGUUAGUGAAGUAGGUAUAUAUGAAACUUAAUGUGUUUUGAAUGGGUUUAUUUAUUUUUUUGUUGGGUAGAUAUGAUAAGUAUAGUUUUUGGAAAAGGUAAACCGGACUAGCGGGGUUGGGUGUGUAAGGCUGGUUGGAUGGGUCUUCCAAACCGGCCAAAAUGGUUCGCUUUUAGCGGUUGUGAUAUUUUGUUUAUUGAUUAUGGUUAGCAUUAGAUUUUGGCAUUGCCUAAUUGUUCUAUUUUGUUUGUAAUAUGAAUCCAUCAAUUGUUCUAUUUUGUUUGUAAUAUGAAUCCAUCUUUAGGUGUACUAGCAAAAUAGUCAACACUGAAGAUGUUCUCGAAUUCACGAUUUGAGGCCUAUAUCUUGAGAUAUAAGUGGAAGUAGAAAGUAUAACCAAAGACUUGAAGGAAAAGGUCACACAGUUGCAGUUGGAAAAAACCAAAAGCAUGAGGAACAAAUGGGGUUCAACAUAACGUGCGCGUCCUAAAUCUACUUAGUUAUAGCUAAAGAAUCCCCGCCGCAAUGCGGUGGGUCGUAAUUCUAGUUUUUGUUAAUUUGUUUUAUCUAUUUGAUAACAAUUAUCGUAGUAUUAUGGGUUAUUUGAUUGAAGGAUUGAUGAGUUUAUAUUAUAUGAAGAUUUGCGAAUAGGGCCCAAAUUUUUUAUCUCGAACAGGGCCAAUUUUUUUUUUUUGUGAUUUUCGGAGACGGCCCUGACGAUUAUGGUAAGCCUGAAACUAUUCAUGAAUAGUUUUAGACCACUAUUUGGUGAUAGUUUAAAUACAAGCUUUUAUAAAUAAAAGACUAGAAGUUCUAGAUUUUUAGAAGUAUUGGUUCUCAAUCAGUAGUUCUGUGAAAUCCAACAGUUAUUUCAUAUCAGAAGCAACAGUUCUAUGUAGCACUUAAAGACUUCAUGGUGACGUCACCAGCAGCUCUCUCCUCCUAUAUAUAGUUCUUCGUUUUUAUUGUAAUAGUUAGCACUUGGAGCCUUUGUGUACAAGAACUAAGUGAGAGAUAGUACACUUGGUGAGGGGGAGUACAUUUGUACCUUGUGAUUGUAUUAGAUUCUUGUUUGAAUUCAAUGAAAUCAUUUUGCAAUCA